AUUGAACGCUGGCGGCAUGCUUUACACAUGCAAGUCGGACGAGUGGCGAACGGGUGAGUAACGCAUCGGAACGUACCGAGUAAUGGGGGAUAACUGUCCGAAAGGACAGCUAAUACCGCAUAUUAUUCGAGCGGCCGAUAUCUGAUUAGCUAGUUGGUGGGUUAAAGGCCUACCAAGGCGACGAUCAGUAGCUGGUCUGAGAGGAUGACCAGCCACACUGGAACUGAGCCACGGUCCAGCCUCCUACGGGAGGCAGCAGUGGGGAAUAUUGCACAAUGGGCGCAAGCCUGAUGCAUCCAUGCCGCGUGUGUGAAGAAGGCCUUCGGGUUGUAAAGCACUUUCAGCGGGGAGGCGUUACCCGCAGAAGAAGCACCGGCUAACUCCGUGCCAGCAGCCGCGGUAAUUC
rnacentral:rRNA from 1 species